rnacentral:rRNA from 1 species
GUAGUCCACGCCCUAAACGAUGUCGACUAGUCGUUCGAAGCGGUAACGCUUUGAGUGACGCAGCUAACGCGUGAAGUCGACCGCCUGGGGAGUACGGCCGCAAGGUUAAAACUCAAAGGAAUUGACGGGGACCCGCACAAGCGGUGGAUGAUGUGGAUUAAUUCGAUGCAACGCGAAAAACCUUACCUACCCUUGACAUGCCUGGAAUCCUGCAGAGAUGCGGGAGUGCCUUCGGGAGCCAGGACACAGGUGCUGCAUGGCUGUCGUCAGCUCGUGUCGUGAGAUGUUGGGUUAAGUCCCGCAACGAGCGCAACCCUUGUCGCUAAUUGCCAUCAUUAAGUUGGGCACUUUAGCGAGACUGCCGGUGACAAACCGGA